AGCUUGCAAUGGCUAAUCUACUUUACACCUUGUUGGAAAUUGGAGACCGUUAAUACAGAGUGUAACGAGAUUCAUAAAAAGGUACGACAAAAACGAGAAAUACAUCAUGUUAAAGAAAGGUCAGAGCAUCACCAGACACCAUUGGAACUACAAAAUACAUUUCUAUGGGACUUCGGACAAACCAUAUAGCUGCAUGUAAUGUAAUCCAAUUACUAUUUCAAUGUUUGAAUCCAUAGAGACUGAUUGAAAAGAUACAGGUCCAUACAGGAGUAUGCUCCGAUAAACAGUAUUAUAAGCAACUACGUACAACAAAUUUAACCACAACAUGGAGGUUUGAUGAUUCUUUUGGCGACUGUUAAAGGGAAUUUGUCAUUUUUCCUGAUUGGCCAUGAUAUUAGGCGUUUACAUUUCAAUGAAAACAAUCCAUUUUAUUCUCCAAAGAAAAAAAAAAAAAAAAACUUUAUUUACUCACACACCUUUCACCGAAUUGAAAAACACAAGAGAAGCAACGAUGUGAGAAACGAGCGCAAAAACCUGUGGAUAAAAAAAAAAAAGUAUAGUCGAAUAAUUGAAAAUAGGCUGCUGAAAAAAAAAUGAAAAAAUCGAUUAAGUCGACAAGCUUUAUGAGGGCAUACAUUACACGGCGGCUCGCUCGGGCGGCCGCUGGAAGAGCCGUUGAACCCUGAAAUGGGAUUUCUCCGGAGAAACAUUUCAGUUCGACAGCGUUUCGAAGCGACGCUACACGUUUCGCGCAGGGCCUUCUCCGGCGAUGCGCAGUUAGCUCCUAGCACCGUUCGUCGGCUAAUACAGCAGACGAGGUUUGGCUGCCAACCAGGCUGAGUGCAAACGUCGUGGGCUGGGGUUCAUCUCCACAGCACACAUACUUGUACGGUAAUGAACAGAAGUGAGUCAAAGUGACAUCUGCAGUAUUUUUUUAUGCAAAGAAAGUCUGGAAAUCUUGCUGGAGUUUGUUGCUAUUGAAAGUAAUGAUUGGUUAAAAUAAAGAUGGUCUUUGAUUGAUACAUUUGAUUGUAGAUCAGAAUCAGAAUCAGAAAGGAUUUAAUUGCCAAGAAGGGUGACGGCUAUGUUGUUGCCAGCUGGAAUGUAUUUGAGUUC
rnacentral:lncRNA from 1 species